GAUAAUGGCUCAGGAUGAACGCUAGCUACAGGCUUAACACAUGCAAGUCGAGGGGCGAGCAUGAACUUAGCUUGCUAAGUUUGAUGGCGACCGGCGCACGGGUGAGUAACACGUAUCCAACCUGCCGAUGACUCGGGGAUAGCCUUUCGAAAGAAAGAUUAAUACCCGAUGGCAUAGUUCUUCCGCAUGGUAGAACUAUUAAAGAAUUUCGGUCAUCGAUGGGGAUGCGUUCCAUUAGGUUG
rnacentral:rRNA from 1 species